UGUAUUCAUGGACUGUAUUCGACUGUAUUCACGACGUGAAAUAGGGAAUUACAUUAUUUUUAAAAUGGAAAGUAAAUCAACUAACAUAGUAGACUCCU
rnacentral:pre_miRNA from 1 species